rnacentral:rRNA from 1 species
UACGUAGGGGGCGAGCGUUAUCCGGAUUUACUGGGCGUAAAGCGCGUUAAGGCGGUUGGCAAAGUUGGUGGUGAAAUUUCAGGGCUCAACCCUGAAACUGCCUCCAAUACUGGUCGACUUGAGUGUGAGAGAGGAAGGUGGAAUUCCCGGUGUAGUAGUGAAAUGCGUAGAUAUCGGGAGGAACACCGGUGGCGAAGGCGGUUCUCUGGGCCUUACCUGACGCUGAGGAGCGAAAGCGUGGGGAGCGAACAGG